ensembl:lncRNA
AGCUGCGUGUGGAUACAAAUGUUGGUGUUUCGUUUCCACGGAUCCCGUAAAAAGGAGGGUUUAUUCUGCCGCGUAAAGGGAGAUAAGACGAGUGCAGGGCGGCAGAAACAGGAGGCCGAUGCAGUGAAUGUGGAUCUCAGCAUCCCCCCCCCCUCCGUGCACGCACACCUUUGUGCUGGAGAUUUACCAGGGAGCCCGAUGUGACGUCAAAGCUGCGGGAGAAGGGAAAAGAAGCGCUAUCGCCAUGGAAACCCGUCUCCCUCAGUUUCCCCCGUGAUGUGAGAACACGAACGCGGUGUCAUUGCACAGACCUCGGCCUGUCACGUGAGGGAGGCGUGGUGGAAUGUUUCAGGACAGCAGCUGACUUUGUGUUUACCUCCAGUGACGGACGGCUCCAUGAAUUAGCCUUUUAUUGCCUGUUUAAAGUUGAACUCCGGACCAGUGCCAUUUAUAGACUUGUGAACGACUUCAAGGUAGACUUCUCGUUUAAAGAUCUGCAGACACACGCCCGUAGUUUAGCUGUGACGGUGCUGGAGACCCGGCCGAUGAUCAGUUUGUUUUUGCUUUGCUGCCGCUUGGUGUGUUUCUGUCGUCAGUGACUAACUACGUGAUUGUGUAGAGUUUAAGGUUGCUCAUCCGUCCUCUGGCCCGGCAGGAUGAAUGGACUUAGUCCAUGAAAGCACGUGUUCAUCCACCGUCCACAGACGUGAACAGCAGCACUGACCACCGUACGGGAAGACGUCUCUAGUUUCAACCCGCUGAGAGAUUCACUGUGAGGGACAAUCAAACCCGUUCAGUUUUGUACAUUUGCCAUUCACAGACACAGAUUCUAAACUUGGGGCCCUCUCCCCCCCGCGCUUUUUGG